ensembl:lncRNA
CGAGGAUCCAAAGUCCAAGCCGGUCUAUGCUCAUGGCCGAGUAGCCUAUCAUAUGAUCGCUGACAUCAUGAAAACAGGUGGAGUUAUUUGUGUCAUGUCAAAUUGUUGGUACCAACCUUGUACUCCUUUAAACAUUUUAUUACCUGUCUGCCGAUCCCGGCAGUGGACUCGACCAUUAUAAGCAAACGAAGCAGUGCACACGGUGAUGACAGAGAUAUGGACUGGAACGUAAUUUAAUCACAGACCACAGAGAGAAGGUGCAUCUAACCUUUGUUAUGACUACUGGCUUGGGUGUUUUUACUGAGAACAAAAUGGUCAUCUGAAGGAAAUAGGAUACAUAAUAAGUGGAGAGUGAGUAAGGUAAGUGGUCUUAAAUGGUUGUCUUGAUACUCUGUAAGAGUGAAGUUGACUUGAUAUAAUGAAGGUGUGAGGUUAUCUUGAUAUACUGAAG